GUCGAUUCACGGAUUGUUGGCUCAGAUCAAGUGUAGUAUCUGUUAUCAGUUUAAUAUCUAUGUCCCCUAUCCGUGCACCUUGUAUUGAAUGGAUUUUUCAGAACGGGACAGAUUUUGAAGCUUGCGUCGCCCUUGGAGUGGUGACUGACAGGUCGGUUUCUGCAGGUACAUAUGCAGUUAUGCCGGAGGUUCA